GUUCGAUGAGUUUGGCGGAGAAGAAAAGAUUCGGAUAGGAGACGGAUCGGGGCGCGAUAUAUAAAUUGGAAGGAAGUAAGGAAGGCGCGGAAGAUGGAAGUGGCGAGAUUCUCGUUCGUUGUCCGAAUAUUGGAUUUCACCCGUGUGGCAAGAAACUACCCUCUCUCGCGGAAUAUCCCCUUUUUAUUCCCUUUUUCGUCGCCUUCUUCCAUUUCCGUAUGUACGUAGCGUACGUAUACGUAAGCGUAAGCCCGCGCUUCCUUCCUCCCCGUUGGAGAGGAGGAGGAGGAAGAAGAAGAAAACGGACGUAUCGAGUAAAGGGAAAGAUUCCGGUGGCCGAAGGUGAGAUCAACCAUGUAUCCUCGAACGACAUCCACCCGAGAAAUUGGCCACCGCCGCCGUCGACUCCGUGAACCAGCGAUAGUAUCAUAGGAACAGGCAAAUCUACGUAGCGGAUAGGAUGUAGCGACGUAUCCACCACAACCCUGUGUAGGAAAUGCCGCGUAUAUUUCGAGCGUAAUCGAUCUUUCCGCAUCGCGAAUCGCGGCAUCAACGCAUAGAAACGUUUCGAGUAGGUAUUCAAACCAGUUUCGCCUUUCCCCGGCUACAUGUUUCUUAUGUAUUGUUAUUCGCAUAUACGUAUAUACCUUGUACGUAUAUACGUAUAUAGGGAGAA